AGUGAACGCUGGCGGUAUGCCUAACACAUGCAAGUCGAACGGCCGCACAGUAAGCUCUUUCUCUUACCGUUGGCGACUGGCGGAUGGGUGACGCAUACAUCGGAAUCUACUUUUUCGUGGGGGAUAACGUAGGAAAACUUCCGCUACUACCUCAUACGUCCUACGGGUGAAUUCAGUAGAUCUUCGCACCUUUCGCGAUUGUAUGAGCCGAUGUCGCAUUAGCUAGUUGGCGGGGUAAAGGCCCACCAAGGCAACGAUCCGUAGCUGGUCUGAGAGGAUGAUCAGCCACACUGGAACUGAGACACGGUCCAGACUCCUACGGGAGGCAGCAGUGGGGAAUAUUGGACAAUGGGCGCAAGCCUGGUCCAGCCAUACCGCGUGGGUGAAGAAGGCCUUCGGGUUGUAAAGCCCUUUUGUUGGGAAAGAAAAGCAGCAGGUUAAUACCCCGCUGUUCUGACGGUACCCAAAGAAUAAGCACCGGCUAACUUCGUG
rnacentral:rRNA from 1 species